ensembl:lncRNA
ACAGAGUUCCCAGCCUUUGUCCCUCUGCUGAAUUCCUGAUUCAGCAGAUGUGUUCAGGAACAGACAGCAGGUACAGGCACACAGGUGCCCAGGGACACUGACAGCACAGGUGCUCAGGGACACUGAGGACAGCAGGUACAGGCACACAGGUGCCCAGGGACACUGAGGGCACAGGUCCAAGCUUGGUGCUCAGUGCUGCCCCACCACCAGCCCUUCCCACACACCCUCCUUCCAACAUUGGAAAUAAACCUUUGUUUUCCUUGUUCACAACCACUGCUGAGUACCUGAGUCAUACCUUGAAGCAAACUGUGAGGGGGAGCAGGGAACCCCCACACUCAUCCUCGUCCUCUGCAGGAAAAGGAGCCAGAACAAACCAGCAAAGCUUCAUCUUUGCACGUGUGCAGAAGAGUCGGGCUCGAGGCUCUCCUGGAGAAAUCUCACAUCAUGGGAAUUUCAUGGGAACCUGCAAAAACAGAAACCUGAGCCAGGACACAAUUUCACUGAGCUGUAGAGACCACAGGUCACUGAUUCUGAAUGACUUGUAUCUAGGGCUGGCUCAUGCCCACAUUCCAUUCCUUUCUCCUUUUGAUAUUUCCUCUGUUAACCUGCAGCAUUUGUUCACUGCCCUACAAGAAUAUCCCCAUAAGAAAAUCAAGAUUCAACAGUUAGAAAACGGUAAAUUUUAAAUUACAAUAAUAAAACAGAUCCUUUCACAUUUAAACUGCAAUCUUUUAUGUUCAUAUACAGGUUUUUCUGCCUCUACCUAUUUGAGAUGAAGAACGAAGCUGCCCUGGAAAUGAAUCUGGGCUGUGUUGGGAUUACUUGUGUGACACUGCCUCACUUGUUCCACAAGAUGUGAGUUUAGGAGAUACAAGAUGCUGCGAGGAGGGAAAGAGAGAGACAGCUGAGAGGUUUCCUGGAAGUCUGGUUUGAUUUUGUGAACUGUGGACAACUCUUGAGAAAAGUUUAUCUGCACAGAACCAGCCCUCUCCUCCUCACCGUUGGGUGCUAUUGAGGGGAGCUGGCUUCUCCCAUGCUCAUUCCCCUCAAAACUAAUUCAGAGGAGGAAUUUAAUUGAUGUUCUUCAAAGAGCUCUUGGCUGUAGGGCUCUCCUUCCUCUCUCCAUGGGCAAACUUGGGGAAACCCAGUGACAAGUGGAGUUAGGAGGAGUCUUUUGUGUGGUGAACUGGUUUGCAGAGUUAGUGUGAGCUUUACAGCUCAGUUUCCAGCUGUAACACAAGCCUAAUUCCACUCCUUACCUUCAGGGACACUGCCAAGACCAGAUCACUCACCCCAGUGCAACAGCAAGAAUGAUAGAAAAAUGCCAAAAAGAAAGAGUGCCAGGAAGAGCAGUCACCAGGGACUGACAAACUCAGACAACAGCCUGGAAAGAAAAAGUCAUGGCAGGUAGAAGCUUUUCUUGAAGCUAGGAUGUCACACCUUCUGAACUGAAAGAGUCAAAUGGUCUCUGAGAGAAGAAAUCGUGAUCCUGCAAUUAAAGCUGCUCCAUAACAAUGUCAAUAUUGACGGUUGCAGUGGCAAUCCAAGCCCUGCCAUCUCCUGUCCCAAUACCCAGCUCUGUAACCUGGCCUGCUCUGCUCUAACACAGGCUUUCCAGAUGGCUUUAAAACCACAGAAAAUACAUCCAAUAACUUACUGCUUUGGAGUCACAGAGCCUUCAAAGCACAAUCUGUGCUCAGAGACUUCCUUAACCUGCUGGAGUUGUGGCCAGAUCCAUGAGCUGCAUCCUCACCUGUGUCAGACCCAAGGCAGAGGGGCUUUGUGCUGGACUCCAAAGGCUCUGAUGGACUUUGGGCAAAUCCAGCCUGAAUUUCAGCUAGAAAUACAUGCAGUAGAGAUAUUCCUUAGAAUAUCUAUUCCUUAGAAUAUCUAUUCUCUUUUAAUUUCUAUUCUCUUUUAAAACCAUAAUCUGUUACUAAUUAAAGCAAUUACUUUUCAUGGCAUGUAUUCUAAUCACAAAAAAAGGCACACGAACUGAAUGACUUUGGUCUGACUUGUUUCAGUUACAAGAGAUAAAGACGCCUCACAUCCACAGUAAGCCAUGCCAAACACCUCACCAAAGCUGAAACAGAAGCCUGGACGGUGAUCACUGUGACCCCAGGGGGUGCUGGCACUGUCCCAGGACACCCUGAACUCACAGCACACUCCCUGUGUCACUGGGCUUCGCUUCUCUGCCCUCCCUGCACAUCCCUGGCCAAAGAGAUCUAUUAUAAGAAUGUACAACUAUUAUAAGAAUAAACAAUUUUCAUUUUAAGUAGGUUAAACUCUUUUUGAAACAGAGAACACUGUAAGAGUAGGUUUUAUAGCUGCCUGCUACUGGAAAAUCUCCCAAUUUAGUUUUAAGAGUUGCUUCUCUGUCCAUCUGUAACGUCCAACAUGGGAUUACCUGGUUUUAUUUUGCAAAGCUACGUUGUUGGUUCCCCCAGUUACAGGGCAGAGCCUUUAGUAACACGAGGCUAACAAAGACAGGGACUGAGAAUGUUUGAGAGACUAGAAUUAUUUUACCCCAAGUUACCAAUAAAACUGCAGCUAUUUUGCUACAAAAACCUAGAGUGGGAAGGUUAAUUACCAGGAAGAACUGAACACGUAUGGGAGAGCACUCAGCUUCACAAACAUAAAGCAAUGGCUAACAUACUCCAUUAUGCAAAUGAAUUCAAAGAUAUUUCACAACUGAUCAGCUAGGAGGGACAUAAUGAUUUAUAAUUCAAAUAACUGAGCUUUGAAAUCAAAUUGGACUAAUAUAUUUCAAAAUAUGCAAACCUGGAAUAAUUGUGAAAGUCAUGGAAACCCUGAUACAAACCAAAUAAUUUGUUGCCUUUGUUGAUACCUUCUUACAUUUUUUCUUAUUUUUUCCUGUUUUGUAGUGCAGUUGCUGAAAUUACAGUUUGUUUUUAAUUCUACAUUAUCCUUUGGAAAAACAUUAUAAUAUACAUUAAAAAAAAAGAAAAAUACGAAUUUCUGAGACUAUGUAAAAGCUGAUUGGUGCAAAGAAAAGUACUGAAAUUAAAUAAAUUAUUAUUUUAACCUUUCAGGCAAGCCACAAUUUAAUCUGUUUCAAAUACUGAAAAUUGAUCCACUGGAUCAAGCAUCUUAACAAUAUACUGCUUCUUUCAAAGCAAUAUAUACUUAAAGCCUUUGAAAAACCUCUAAUAUAAUGUGAAAAGGCCAAAGUUUGCAAUGCCAGGAAGUAGUUAUAAACUACUUCAUAUGUUUGAAAUAAAAAGUACUUCAGUAUUAUUAUUAAAAAAAAACCCUAUUGGUAGAGUUUUUAAUAGGAAAAAAAUACAUAUCUUUAAAAGCCAAAAUGACCAGUGAAAUUAGGUUGUACAUCAUUUUCUGGGAAAAAGGAAAAACAGCCUCGACAGGUGUAAUUUAUCAUUUUUCUGAUUUAAUACCAAAGAAAUAUAUUAAAAUAAUAAAAAGAAUCCUGAAAUCCUCAAAAUUUGUAGUGAUAAAUAGCCCUCCCUGUCUUUAUUGCAUUAUGCCUACUAACAGAAAUAUUGCAUGGUGGAUUUCGCCAGACAAGGACGAUUAUUUUCCAAUAAAAAGUUGCAUAUUAAAUUCCAGCACAAAAGUGGGUGUCUAAUACUUUUGAAAUCUUUUAUGGCUUGCCAGGGAACACAAUUGUAAACGUAACUGAUACAAGCUGAGGUGAAGGGGAGCAGCCUGGAAGCUGCCAGGGCACAGCAGCAGCAGAGGCUGCAGCCCAGGGCUCCUCCUGGAACCAUUCCAGUGGAACACACCUGGGCGUUUGUCCUGAGAGCUGAUCUCCCUUCUGCUGCUCCUUCAACACUUCUCGCUGCUGGCGAAGAACUGAUUCAUCUAAAAGAGGAGGACUGCUUUGGGUUUCCUCCCCUUGCCACCUUUAACUAUUAAUGCCAAGUGUUUGCUAGAAAAUUCUUUUCAGAAGGCAGAAGUGGAGUGCAGCUCCCUUCACCUCAGGGCUGCUGCACAUGCUGAGCACGCAGAGGGGUCUGAAACUCUUCUGCUGACAUUCAGCAAGUUUCUGCAAAGAAAAAUCCCACAGCUUCAUCACAAUGCUAAUCUUCAAGAGAACUUAGGGCAUUAAAUAUCUACUUUUCCAUCCUUUCUACGUCCUGAUAUUAUUAGAUCUAUUUCACAAGCAGAAACUCAUUUACUGCAAACACAAUGUGAGCAAUCUGAAAGCUGUCCAGAGCUUUCAGCCUUGGAAAGGAUUAUUUGCACCAACAGUGUAUCUUGUAUCAUUCCUCUUCCAGCCUGCAGAAGACACCAGGAAAUGCUGAAUGCUUGCUGGCUUUAGCAGCAAUGUGAGGUGAUUCUGCCAGCACACUCGGGAAUAACCAGAGAAGAACUCACAGCCAGGGGCCCUCAGCUACAUUUCAUGGGGAUUCUGAAAGUGCUCUGAGUCCUACAGAAGCAACAAGUAUCAGUAGAAAGGAGGAGAGAGCUCAUUAGUUCCUUCAUAAAUCUUGUUAAUGAAAUAAAUGUCUCUCAUUCUGGUUUUCUUGAAUUCCUUAGCAAUGUUUCAAGUCCUUUCCAGUCUGAUUUCUGUGAUGCCAUGAGAAAAUAAACACAUGCAUAUUUAAAAUAUCAAGUUAGCUGCUUAAUGGUAUUUCAAGUCAGCAUAUAGAAGUACACCUUGUACGGUUUUCAUUAAACAAAAUUCACUUAUGGAAUGUGAAAACCUGCACUCAUCUUUCAAACCAAGGAAAUAUAUUAAAAUUAUUCUUACAGUAUUAGAGUUCUAUGGAGAAAUAAAAUGACACCAAUUGUCAUAUUCCAGGUGCCUUCUCCUUUGUUUGUGUAACAACCUCCUCCAGAAAAUUACUGAAAAGUUGCUUUUGUGAGCCCUGGUGGUUUAUUAUCUGUCAUAUACCUUUAAAUAUUGUGUCAUAUCAAACACUGCUACUAGGGGUUGUUUUUUUCUAUCUUCUUGCUUGGCUGACUGAACAUGCCAAGAACAAACAUUCUUCUGCAACUAAUGGUAAGUGAAUAUUAACUAGGAUAAGCUACAAAAGGCACCAACAGAGAGCAAGGUAGCAUCCAUGACUGGGUAAGAAUUUCACAAAAACAUCUGAACCCAAACAAAACAAACAAAAAAGCCCUGUGAUUUCCUGGCUUGGGAACCCUGGCACCAAUUCCUGACCCUGACAUCAAAUCCACAGAAUGACAGAAUCAGCUGAGUCAGAAGGGACCACAAGGUUCAUUGAGUGCAACUCUCAGCCCUGCACAGAACAUCCCCAAAAGCCACAUCCUGUGACAGAGCAUUGUCCAAACUGCCCUUGAACUCUGCCAGGGUGGCGCUGCCUCACUGCCCUGGGAGCCAGGAGAGGCCCAAAGGGUCAGUAACCCAGCCCAGCUGUGUCCAGGUGUGCCCCAGUCUCACAGACUCAGCCCAGCUGUGUCCAGGUGUGCCCCAAAGGGUCAGUGACUCAGCCCAGCUGUGUCCAGGUGUGCCCCAAAGGGUCAGUGACUCAGCCCAGCUGUGUCCAGGUGUGCCCC